GAUGAACGCUGGCGGCGUGCCUAAUACAUGCAAGUCGAGCGAAUGGAGGGAGAGCUUGCUCUUAUGAAGUUAGCGGCGGACGGGUGAGUAACACGUGGGUAACCUGCCCAUAAGACUGGGAUAACUCCGGGAAACCGGGGCUAAUACCGGAUAACAUUUUGAACCGCAUGGUUCGAAAUUGAAAGGCGGCUUCGGCUGUCACUUAUGGAUGGACCCGCGUCGCAUUAGCUAGUUGGUGAGGUAACGGCUCACCAAGGCAACGAUGCGUAGCCGACCUGAGAGGGUGAUCGGCCACACUGGGACUGAGACACGGCCCAGACUCCUACGGGAGGCAGCAGUAGGGAAUCUUCCGCAAUGGACGAAAGUCUGACGGAGCAACGCCGCGUGAGUGAUGAAGGCUUUCGGGUCGUAAAACUCUGUUGUUAGGGAAGAACAAGUGCUAGUUGAAUGAGCUGGCACCUUGACGGUACCUAACCAGAAAGCCACGGCUAACUACGUGCCAGCCGCCGCAGUAA
rnacentral:rRNA from 1 species